AUGUGGUGGAGGCUUUUUCGUAUCGACCUGCUACAUCACCUUCAGACCAUCCAUCUUCCUCCUCCUCGAUCUGCUUGCACGGAUUUCCAGAUUUUGCUGCCAGUUUUGAAACUCCUCAGCGAUUCUCAGUUUUUCCCUGUCAGAAAAGAGUACAAAACCCAACUCGCCCUUUGCCCAAAGUACAGUCAUCCAGAGAUAGAGCCUAGAUGGCUUUUCCAGCCACCAGUUCUGCCUGUGCUCUAUCUUUGCUUUCCUUCCAUGAAUGUAAUGGGGUCAGAAGGACUGGGCACCUCUUGGAAAGCCCCCAAGGUACUGAGGGAGCAAAGUGAGCACUGGGUGAGGUUUAGCUUUGGUAAGAUAAGGGCCAUGCUAUCACCUAGGACAGCAGACUCCUUUCUAAUCUCUAAAUGCAGCGUUGUCAAUACAGAGCAAAGGUUUCUGCUCACCCUCUUCUUCUCUAUUUAAUACAUUUAAGUACUGCACUCUACAUAUGAAGAAUAGUGAUGUUAUCAGAAAGCAUUCAAAAACAUAUGUUUUAAUGAAAUGUGUUGACAACUGCUGAAGUAAAGUUUUUGUUAAGUCUCAAGAGUUUAGCCAUGACAAGCAGUAUUAAUGAAUUGAAUUAAUUAAAAAGCAUUUCAAGAUGAAACGGGGCCUGUUCUAUGUAAAAUGCUCUAUACAUUAGACAAGCAUUAUGGAAAUCACUGCUUUGUACUGCACUGUAAUGCAGCCAUUUAUAAAAGCUUCUCAAGAUCCAUGGAUAGCAGUAAUUUGGGCUUAGCGUGUCUUUGAAAUUCAUUGAAUACAGCAUGUGCUAUUUAAAAGCAUGAAAUCUGGAUAGUUCCACUGCCAUCAAAGUUCGUAUGGCUUGGAGAGAGGGAGCUCAGCACUGCUGGAAUGAGCGAUGAUGCACGCAGGGAGGGGGAAACCAAAGAGCAGAAUGGUGAAGCCAUGGUGUUACAGAGCAGGCUCUCAGAUUAGCAGCAAGCCAGGUCCCAAACUGCCCCGAAAUAUGGGUGAUCUCAGAGUCAUUUCUUUCAUUCUUGCUGCUCGUCUGCCCCAAGAUCCCCUCAUUUAUGUACUAUGCUUGGUCUCCAGCUCUUCUGCUUUUUAGAUUGCUUUUUUUUUUUUCGUCCUGAGUAAUACCAUCAACUGUGACCAGUGGCAUUACAGAAAGAUAGAUGUGUAUUCCUUGUAUUCCA
rnacentral:lncRNA from 1 species